AGCACAAAAGAGUAACAAAUCUAGUUUUUUGCCGCGCGAAAAUGCAACGAAAAUUCAAAAAAGAAAAAGAGAAGAGAAGUUUGAAUUUACGAGGGAUUUCGGAUAACAAAUUAAAAAAUAAACCGUAGUUCUCGCACUUCAAGUGCAAUAUUCGCUGUUUCUUCGAAAUUUUACGUUAAAUCUUUGAAAUUCAGAGCAGAUUACGGGUGCGGAUAAUCGAUUUUCCAUUUCAUUUUCGUCUAGAUCAAGAUCUGUUCUUGUGCUACGAGUGAUGAUUUUGGGCUUGCUACUGACACGUUGGGUCUAAUGAUCUGUGUUUCUGCUUCUUCGAACCUGCUGGCUUCAUGAUCUGCUUCCCUUGAGAUAGCAGGUUUCUCAUCCACAGCAAACGGGAUGCGAGCUUUUGCUGAUUCAGAUUCUACAUCUCCUCGAGUUGAAUGCUGACUGGAGUUUCUGCUUAAUGAAUCUUUAAUUUUGAAAUUUAAGUGUCUUGAACUCCUCUCACCGGCUGGAUUUUCUUGGUGCCUACCAUUCACCAAUCCAUUGAGUUGUGUUGCAUCAGUAUGUUCGGUGGAGCCUUUCCUACUAGUUGCUGCUUGGUUCAGUUGCAGCUGCUUCUUUUGCAAAUCGGUUGCACCAGACAUUAGUUUGGAGAUAUUGCUAGAUACUGAUUCAGCUUUUGUUGAUUGCCUAGACGAAGCUUGUUAGCAGAACUAUUUUCCCCAUGAAGCAUGCUUUCACCGUACUCUGGCUUUUCUAGCAAUGU